rnacentral:rRNA from 1 species
GAUGAACGCUGGCGGUAUGCCUAACACAUGCAAGUCGUACGAGGGUUUUUAACUCUAGUGGCGGACGGGUGAGUAACACGUGAGAAUUUGCCUUUAGGAGGGGGAUAACAAUCGGAAACGAAUGCUAAUACCCCAUAUGCUUUUGAGUGAAAUGGAUUUAUCCGCCUAAAGAGAAGCUCGCGGCUGAUUAGCUUGUUGGUAAGGUAAGAGCUUACCAAGGCGACGAUCAGUAUCUGGUUUGAGAGGACGAUCAGACACACUGGAACUGAGACACGGUCCAGACUCCUACGGGAGGCAGCAGUGGGGAAUUUUCCGCAAUGGGCGAAAGCCUGACGGAGCAAUACCGCGUGAGGGAAGACUGCCUAUGGGUUGUAAACCGUACUUUUUUCUAGGGUAGGAAGUAAAAUAGACGUGUACCUGAAGAAUAAGC